rnacentral:tRNA from 1 species
AUUUAUAUAGUUUAAAAAAACAUAACACUUUCAUUGUUAAAUUGGAUAAAUAAAUCCUUUAAAUA